rnacentral:tRNA from 1 species
GCCUUCGUGGUGUAGUGGUCAGCACGCUCGACGCGUAACCGAGAGGCCCAUGGUUCGAUUCCCGGCGAAGGCG